UCUUUGAGAGAGAGAGAGAGAGAGAGAGAGAAGUAUAGGGUUAGGAAUGGGACUACAAACUCUUCUCCCUCUCUCUCUCCCCUAUAUUUAUAAGUC
rnacentral:miRNA from 1 species